UACAGAGGGUGCGAGCGUGUUCGGAAUUACUGGGCGUAAAGCGCGCGCAGGCGGCCCAUUAAGUCCAUCGGUCAAAUGCCGGGGCUCAACCCCGAGCGUGCCGAGGAUACUGGCGGGCUGGAGACACGUAGAGGCAAGCGGAAUUCCGGGUGUAGCGGUGGAAUGCGUAGAUAUCGGGAGGAACACCUGCGGUGUAGACGGCUUACUGGACCAUAACUGACGCUGAGGCACGAAAGCGUGGGUAGCAAACAGG
rnacentral:rRNA from 1 species